GUAAUAGCUCUAUUUUGUGAUUCAGACACAAGCGGUUUGACUGUGGGGCAAAAAAAUCAAGAGAACAAGACAGAUUCAUAGAAAAGCAGAUAAGUAAUACAAAGUCACCAAAGUGGCUGUAGAGGACUCCCCAAAAUACAUCUUUCCAGGGAUUCCUAGCAUGUGUCUAGGACAGUUUAAAUGCACUCGUAAGGCAGAACAACCCCUUCUGUAAGAAGCCACAGCCGCAAAUGAUCUGAACAUGACACUUAUGAAGUGACAGUCUUAAAACUGACAAAAUCUGUGUGCUUGUGGGCUGAGCUCCCAUGCAAGUGGGCAUCUGGUAAGCGCAGAUGUGGACUCGCGGCGAGGUGCCCAGCUCAGGGCAGCCAUAGGGACACAGCGGGACCUGCCCCUCCUAAGGGAGGGCUUAGCCUCAUGCUCGGGAGCUGCUUUCACCUGUUGCUCCGUUUUACAAAUCAGUAUGAAGUAUUGAUGUCACUUGGAGAUUUGAUUGUCAACAUCAUAAAAACAGCACCAGAAAAAGCCACAAGAUAUUGCAUAAAGCCCAGAAUGACUGAAAGUUGGUGGACUUUUUCAGGAGAUACAUUUUUUCACUGGUGAGUAGGUGGAGCCAUUUUAUUUUUCUCCAUUGCAGUCUAGAACAAUUCAAGCUUCUGAGACUCGUAUUUUGAUGUCAUUGAUCAUCUUGCUGGAACAAUGCAGCAGAGUUUCUCCCCAGUGUCAAAAUUGUGAAUUAUAUAUGUUUCAUAUUCCAUCAUUAAUUAGGAACAGUUUUCUUCCAUUUAAAUAAUUUUAUUUCUUGAGGUGGGAAGAGGAUUUCUUUGACUGAUCAUCCUUCAUUAAAUUAGCCGUAGAAAUGGUUUGCAUCUUCUGAGGUUGAAUGUAAAUCUAAGC
rnacentral:lncRNA from 1 species